rnacentral:rRNA from 1 species
CUUCUCGCUAUCACUUCUGGAUGGACCUGCGGUGCAUUAGCUUGUUGGUGGGGUAACGGCCUACCAAGGCGAUGAUGCAUAGCCGAGUUGAGAGACUGAUCGGCCACAAUGGGACUGAGACACGGCCCAUACUCCUACGGGAGGCAGCAGUAGGGAAUCUUCCACAAUGGGCGCAAGCCUGAUGGAGCAACACCGCGUGAGUGAAGAAGGGUUUCGGCUCGUAAAGCUCUGUUGUUAAAGAAGAACACGUAUGAGAGUAACUGUUCAUACGUUGACGGUAUUUAACCAGAAAGUCACGGCUAACUACGUGCCAGCAGCCGCGGUAAUACGUAGGUGGCAAGCGUUAUCCGGAUUUAUUGGGCGUAAAGAGGAGUGCAGGCGGUUUUCUAAGUCUGAUGUGAAAGCCUUCGGCUUAACCGGAGAAGUGCAUCGGAAACUGGAUAACUUGAGUGCAGAAGAGGGUAGUGGAACUCCAUGUGUAGCGGUGGAAUGCGUAGAUAUAUGGAAGAACACCAGUGGCGAAGGCGGCUACCUGGUCUGCAACUGACGCUGAGACUCGAAAGCAUGGGUAGCGAACAGGAUUAGAUACCCUGGUAGUCCAUGCCGUAAACGAUGAGUGCUAGGUGUUGGAGGGUUUCCGCCCUUCAGUGCCGGAGCUAACGCAUUAAGCACUCCGCCUGGGGAGUACGACCGCAAGGUUGAAACUCAAAGGAAUUGACGGGGGCCCGCACAAGCGGUGGAGCAUGUGGUUUAAUUCGAAGCUACGCGAAGAACCUUACCAGGUCUUGACAUCUUGCGCCAACCCUAGAGAUAGGGCGUUUCCUUCGGGAACGCAAUGACAGGUGGUGCAUGGUCGUCGUCAGCUCGUGUCGUGAGAUGUUGGGUUAAGUCCCGCAACGAGCGCAACCCUUGUUACUAGUUGCCAGCAUUAAGUUGGGCACUCUAGUGAGACUGCCGGUGACAAACCGGAGGAAGGUGGGGACGACGUCAGAUCAUCAUGCCCCUUAUGACCUGGGCUACACACGUGCUACAAUGGACGGUACAACGAGUCGCGAACUCGCGAGGGCAAGCAA